rnacentral:rRNA from 1 species
AUUGAACGCUGGCGGCAGGCCUAACACAUGCAAGUCGAACGGUAACAGGAAGAAGCUUGCUUCUUUGCUGAUGAGUGGCGGACGGGUGAGUAAUGUCUGGGAAACUGCCUGAUGGAGGGGGAUAACUACUGGAAACGGUAGCUAAUACCGCAUAACGUCGCAAGACCAAAAAGGGGGACCUUCGGGCCUCUUGCCAUCGGAUGUGCCCAGAUGGGAUUAGCUAGUAGGUGGGGUAACGGCUCACCUAGGCGACGAUCCCUAGCUGGUCUGAGAGGAUGACCAGCCACACUGGAACUGAGACACGGUCCAGACUCCUACGGGAGGCAGCAGUGGGGAAUAUUGCACAAUGGGCGCAAGCCUGAUGCAGCCAUGCCGCGUGUAUGAAGAAGGCCUUCGGGUUGUAAAGUACUUUCAGCGGGGAGGAAGGGAGUAAAGUUAAUACCUUUGAUCAUUGACGUUACCCGCAGAAGAAGCACCGGCUAACUCCGUG